rnacentral:tRNA from 1 species
GGGUUGUGGCUCAGAGGUAGAGCACUUGCCUAGCAUGCAUGAGGCACUGGGUUUGAUCCUUAGAUCCA